rnacentral:rRNA from 1 species
GAAAGUAGCUUGCUACUUUGCUGACGAGCGGCGGACGGGUGAGUAAUGCUUGGGAACAUGCCUUGAGGUGGGGGACAACAGUUGGAAACGACUGCUAAUACCGCAUAAUGUCUACGGACCAAAGGGGGCUUCGGCUCUCGCCUUUAGAUUGGCCCAAGUGGGAUUAGCUAGUUGGUGAGGUAAUGGCUCACCAAGGCGACGAUCCCUAGCUGGUUUGAGAGGAUGAUCAGCCACACUGGGACUGAGACACGGCCCAGACUCCUACGGGAGGCAGCAGUGGGGAAUAUUGCACAAUGGGCGCAAGCCUGAUGCAGCCAUGCCGCGUGUGUGAAGAAGGCCUUCGGGUUGUAAAGCACUUUCAGUCAGGAGGAAAGG